rnacentral:lncRNA from 10 species
CCAAAGAAAGCCAAACACCAUUUCAUACUUGACAACACUACCUGUAUGAUCUUAACAUAGCAAAUAAGUCAAAUAUGUGUCCAUUUCAGACUUCAAGGGACCUAAUAUCUAAAAAAAUUAAUGAGGUCAAAAGGUGGGAUUUAAAACUUGAUUUUGGAAAGUUUUUCAAAUAUCAAAGGUGUAAAACACUUGUCACAAAAGAGUAUCACAGGUUAUUCAUUUAGCCAAAGUGAUUAACUCAAAGAUUUAAAAAAAAAAAAAAUCCUUUACUCCGAUAGAGAAGAGACUCAGCUUUCCAAAGAACAAGACCCAACAAAGACAGGAGGAGGCCAACUGAAUCUGUCUCUUCUCUCUCCCCUCUUUUCUUUUUCCUGCAGUUUGCUCAAAAGGCAAAAAACUUUCAUUAUCUCUCAAUAUUACAUGAAAAUCUUGUUCAAAAAAGAAAACCAAAUUCCCCCUUUGCAGUGCACUGUUAAUGCUAAAGCUAAUUUUUAAUAAAAUCUUAUAAACAAAUCUAAUUUUAAUUAGCUUGACCAUAAGGUAUCUACAAACCCUUUAUAACUCUUUUUUUUUUUUUCAGGGAGGGGUGGCAUUUGUUUGUUUGUUUAUUUAUUUAUUUUAUUUCAAUAGGUUUUAGGGAACAGGUGAUGUUUGGUUACAUGAGUAAGCUCUUCAAUGGUGAUUUCUGAAAUUUUGGUGCACCUAUCACCCAAGCAGUAUACACUGUACCCAAUGUGUAGUCUUUUAUCCCUCACCCCCCUCCAACCCUUUCACCCAAAUCCCUAAAGUCCAUUGCAUCAUUCUUACACUUUUGCAACCACAUAGCUUAGUUCCCGCUUAUGAGUGAGAACAUAAGACAUUUGGUUUUCCAUUCCUGCGUUACUUCACUUGGAAUAAUGGUCUCCAGUUCCAUCCAGGUUGCUGCAAAUGCCAUUAUUUCAUUCCUUUUUAUGGCUGAGUAGUAUUCCAUGGUGUAUAUAUAUCCCACAGUUUCUUUAUCUGCUCAUUGAUUGAUGGGCAUUUGGGCAGGUUCCAUAAUUUUGCAGUUGUGAGUUGUGCUGCCAUAAACAUGCGUAUGCAAGUAUCUUUUUCAUAUAUUUUUUUCAUAUAAUGACUUCAUUUAGUUCUGCUCUGAUCUUUGUUAUUUCUUUUCUUCUGCUGGAUUUGGGUUUGUUUUGUUCUUGUUUCUCUAAUUCCUUGAGGUGUGAUCUUAAAUUGCCUAUUUGUGCCUUUAGACUUUUUGAUGUAGGCAUUUAAGGCUAUGAACUUUCCUCUUAGCACUG